GAAGUGUGGACGCCAGUCUGCAUGGAGCCGACCUUGAAAUACCACCCUUUAAUGUUUGAUGUUCUAACGUUGACCCGUAAUCCGGGUUGCGGACAGUGUCUGGUGGGUAGUUUGACUGGGGCGGUCUCCUCCUAAAGAGUAACGGAGGAGCACGAAGGUUGGCUAAUCCUGGUCGGACAUCAGGAGGUUAGUGCAAUGGCAUAAGCCAGCUUGACUGCGAGCGUGACGGCGCGAGCAGGUGCGAAAGCAGGUCAUAGUGAUCCGGUGGUUCUGAAUGGAAGGGCCAUCGCUCAACGGAUAAAAGGUACUCCGGGGAUAACAGGCUGAUACCGCCCAAGAGUUCAUAUCGACGGCGGUGUUUGGCACCUCGAUGUCGGCUCAUCACAUCCUGGGGCUGAAGUAGGUCCCAAGGGUAUGGCUGUUCGCCAUUUAAAGUGGUACGCGAGCUGGGUUUAGAACGUCGUGAGACAGUUCGGUCCCUAUCUGCCGUGGGCGCUGGAGAACUGAGGGGGGCUGCUCCUAGUACGAGAGGACCGGAGUGGACGCAUCACUGGUGUUCGGGUUGUCAUGCCAAUGGCACUGCCCGGUAGCUAAAUGCGGAAGAGAUAAGUGCUGAAAGCAUCUAAGCACGAAACUUGCCCCGAGAUGAGUU
rnacentral:rRNA from 1 species